rnacentral:rRNA from 1 species
AGAGUUUGAUCAUGGCUCAGAACGAACGUUGGCGGCGUGGUUGAGGCAUGCAAGUCGCACGAGAACGGAGCAAUCCUAGUAAAGUGGCGGAAGGGUGAGGAAUGGGUAGAUAACGUACCUUGGAGAUGGGCAUAACGGCUCGAAAGAGCCGCUAAUACCCGAUGAGACCACAGGUGGGCAUCCACUAGAGGUCAAAGGCUGGGGAUCUUCGGACCUAGCGCUCUAAGAUCGGUCUACUCCCUACCAGCUAGUUGGUGAGGUAACGGCCCACCAAGGCUGCGACGGGUACCCGGGCUGAGAGGCUGAUCGGGCACAUCGGCACUGAGACACUGGCCGGACACCUACGGGUGGCUGCAGUUCGGAAUAUUCGGCAAUGGACGAAAGUCUGACCGAGCGACGCCGCGUGCGGGAUGAAGGCCCUUUGGGUUGUAAACCGCUGUCACAGGUGAGCAAAUCAUAGUGGGUGAACAAUCCAUUAUGUUGAGUUAAGCUUGAGAGGAAGCCCCCGCUAUCACGUGCCAGCAGCGGCGGUAAUACGUGAGGGGCGAACGUUGUUCGGUGUCACUGGGCUUAAAGGGUGCGUAGGUGGUUGCGUAAGUAACGUGUGAAAUCCCUCGGCUUACCCGGGGAAUUGCGCGUUAUACUGCGUGACUUGAGGAUUUCAGGGGAAUGGGGAACUCCAGGUGUAGCGGUGAAAUGCGCAGAUAUCUGGGGGAAGGCCGGCGGCGAAGGCGCCAUUCUGGGAAAUUCCUGACACUGAGGCACGAAAGCGUGGGGAGCAAACAGGAUUAGAUACCCUAGUAGUCC